rnacentral:rRNA from 1 species
CAUUGGGAAUUUUUCCCCAUGGGCCCCAGCCUUAACGGACCAAAACCGCGGGGGGGAGAAGGCCUAAUCGGUUGUAAACCUCUUUUCUCAGGGAAGAACACAAUGACGGUACCUGAGGAAUAAGCAUCGGCUAACUCCGUGCCACCACCCGCGGUAAUACGGAGGAGGCAAGCGUUAUCCGGAAUUAUUGGGCGUAAAGCGUCCGCAGGUGGCUAUUCAAGUCUGCUGUCAAAGCCCGGGGCUUAACCCUGUAAAGGCAGUGGAAACUGCCAAGCUAGAGUGCGUUAGGGAUAGAGGGAAUUCCCGGUGUAUCGGUGAAAUGCGUAGAGAUCGGGAAGAACACCGGUGGCGAAAGCGCUCUUCUGGACCGCAACUGACACUCAGGGACGAAAGCUAGGGGAGCGAAUGGGAUUAGAUACCCCACGUAGUCCUAGCCGUAAACGAUGGAUACUAGGCGUGGCUGGUAUCGACCCGACCCGUGCCGUAGCUAACGCUUUAAGUAUCCCGCCUGGGAUACUCACCCAG